rnacentral:rRNA from 1 species
UGGGGGAUAUUGCACAAUGGGCGAAAGCCUGAUGCAGCGACGCCGCGUGGGGGAUGAAGGCUUUCGGGUUGUAAACCUCUUUCGCUAUCGAACAAGGCCCGCUUAGGGUGGGUUGAGGGUAGGUGGAGAAGAAGCGCCGGCUAACUACGUGCCAGCAGCCGCGGUAAUACGUAGGGCGCGAGCGUUGUCCGGAAUUAUUGGGCGUAAAGGGCUUGUAGGCGGCUUGUUGCGCCUGCUGUGAAAACGCGGGGCUUAACUUCGCGCGUGCAGUGGGUACGGCAGGCUUGAGUGUGGUAGGGGUGACUGGAAUUCCAGGUGUAGCGGUGGAAUGCGCAGAUAUCUGGAGGCACACCGAUGGCGAAGGCAGGUCACUGGGCCAUUACUGACGCUGAGGAGCGAAAGCAUGGGUAGCGAACAGG